UACGAAGGGGGCUAGCGUUGCUCGGAAUCACUGGGCGUAAAGGGUGCGUAGGCGGGUCUUUUAAGUCAGGGGUGAAAUCCUGGAGCUCAACUCCAGAACUUGCCUUUGAUACUGAAGAUCUUGAGUUCGGGAGAGGUGAGUGGAACUGCGAGUGUAGAGGUGAAAUUCGUAGAUAUUCGCAAGAACACCAGUGGCGAAGGCGGCUCACUGGCCCGAUACUGACGCUGAGGCACGAAAGCGUGGGGAGCAAACAGG
rnacentral:rRNA from 1 species